rnacentral:rRNA from 1 species
GACCUCGGAUCAGGUAGGAAUACCCGCUGAACUUAAGCAUAUCAAUAAGCGGAGGAAAAGAAACCAACAGGGAUUGCCUCAGUAACGGCGAGUGAAGCGGCAAAAGCUCAAAUUUGAAAUCUGACCCUUCGGGUCCGAGUUGUAAUUUGCAGAGGAUGUUUCGGGUAAGAUUUAGGUCUAAGUUCCUUGGAACAGGACGUCAUAGAGGGUGAGAAUCCCGUACGUGACCGUUGAUCGCACCCAUGUGAAACUCCUUCGACGAGUCGAGUUGUUUGGGAAUGCAGCUCAAAAUGGGUGGUAAAUUUCAUCUAAAGCUAAAUAUUGGCCAGAGACCGAUAGCGCACAAGUAGAGUGAUCGAAAGAUGAAAAGCACUUUGAAAAGAGAGUUAAACAGUAUGUGAAAUUGUUGAAAGGGAAGCGCUUGAAGUCAG